GUAGCAAUACAUGGCGUACUGCUCAGUAACACGUGGACAACCUACCCUCCGGACGGGUAUAAACCCGGGAAACUGGGUAUAAUCCCCGAUAGAUCUCGGUCGCUGGAAAGCCCCGAGAUCGAAAGCUCCGGCGCCAGAGGAUGGGUCUGCGGCCUAUCAGGUAGUAGUGGGUGUAGCGUACCUACUAGCCUACGACGGGUACGGGUUGUGAGAGCAAGAGCCCGGAGAUGGAUUCUGAGACACGAAUCCAGGCCCUACGGGGUGCAGCAGGCGCGAAAACUUUACAAUGCCGGCAACGGCGAUAAGGGGACCUCGAGUGCCAGGUUACAAAUCUGGCUGUCGUGAUGCCUAAAAAGCAUUGCAUAGCAAGGGCCGGGCAAGACCGGUGCCAGCCGCCGCGGUAACACCGGCGGCUCGAGUGGUAACCGUUAUUAUUGGGUCUAAAGGGUCUGUAGCCGGCCAGAUAGGUCUCUUGAGGAAUCCAGCAGCUCAACUGUUGGGCUUUCAGGAGAUACUGUCUGGCUCGAGGCCGGGAGAGGUGAGAGGUACUUCAGGGGUAGGGGUGAAAUCUUGUAAUCCUUGAAGGACCACCAGUGGCGAAGGCGUCUCACCAGAACGGACCUGACGGCAAGGGACGAAAGCUAGGGGCACGAACCGGAUUAGAUACCCGGGUAGUCCUAGCCGUAAACGAUACUCGCUAGGUGUCGGCCACGGUGCGACCGUUGUCGGUGCCGUAGGGAAGCCGUGAAGCGAGCCACCUGGGAAGUACGGCCGCAAGGCUGAAACUUAAAGGAAUUGGCGGGGGAGCACCACAACGGGUGGAGC
rnacentral:rRNA from 1 species